rnacentral:rRNA from 1 species
AGAGUUUUGAUUCAUGGCUCAGGACGAACGCUGGCGGCGUGCUUUAACACAUGCAAGUCGAGCGGUAAGGCCUUUCGGGGUACACGAGCGGCGAACGGGUGAGUAACACGUGGGUGAUCUGCCCUGCACUUCGGGAUAAGCCUGGGAAACUGGGUCUAAUACCGGAUAUGACCUCCUAUCGCAUGGUGGGUGGUGGAAAGAUUUAUCGGUGCAGGAUGGGCCCGCGGCCUAUCAGCUUGUUGGUGGGGUAAUGGCCUACCAAGGCGACGACGGGUAGCCGACCUGAGAGGGUGACCGGCCACACUGGGACUGAGACACGGCCCAGACUCCUACGGGAGGCAGCAGUGGGGAAUAUUGCACAAUGGGCGAAAGCCUGAUGCAGCGACGCCGCGUGAGGGAUGACGGCCUUCGGGUUGUAAACCUCUUUCAGCAGGGACGAAGCGCAAGUGACGGUACCUGCAGAAGAAGCACCGGCUAACUACGUGCCAGCAGCCGCGGUAAUACGUAGGGUGCAAGCGUUGUCCGGAAUUACUGGGCGUAAAGAGUUCGUAGGCGGUUUGUCGCGUCGUUUGUGAAAACCAGCAGCUCAACUGCUGGCUUGCAGGCGAUACGGGCAGACUUGAGUACUGCAGGGGAGACUGGAAUUCCUGGUGUAGCGGUGAAAUGCGCAGAUAUCAGGAGGAACACCGGUGGCGAAGGCGGGUCUCUGGGCAGUAACUGACGCUGAGGAACGAAAGCGUGGGUAGCGAACAGGAUUAGAUACCCUGGUAGUCCACGCCGUAAACGGUGGGCGCUAGGUGUGGGUUCCUUCCACGGAAUCCGUGCCGUAGCUAACGCAUAAGCGUCCGCCUCGAACCAUUUGCUGACAAAAACUCCCCC